ensembl:snRNA U6 U6 spliceosomal RNA
GCGCUCACUUCAGUAGCACAUAUACUAAAAUUUGAAUAACACAGAGAAGAUUAGCGUGGUCCCUGCACAAGGAUGACAUGUAUAUUCAUGAAGUGAUCCACAUAUUC